rnacentral:rRNA from 1 species
CGGUCUUUGGGCCACCUCCCAUCCGUGUCUAUUGUACCCUGUUGCUUCGGCGGGCCCGCCGCUUGUCGGCCGCCGGGGGGGCGCCUCUGCCCCCCGGGCCCGUGCCCGCCGGAGACCCCAACACGAACACUGUCUGAAAGCGUGCAGUCUGAGUUGAUUGAAUGCAAUCAGUUAAAACUUUCAACAAUGGAUCUCUUGGUUCCGGCAUCGAUGAAGAACGCAGCGAAAUGCGAUAACUAAUGUGAAUUGCAGAAUUCAGUGAAUCAUCGAGUCUUUGAACGCACAUUGCGCCCCCUGGUAUUCCGGGGGGCAUGCCUGUCCGAGCGUCAUUGCUGCCCUCAAGCCCGGCUUGUGUGUUGGGUCGCCGUCCCCCUCUCCGGGGGGACGGGCCCGAAAGGCAGCGGCGGCACCGCGUCCGAUCCUCGAGCGUAUGGGGCUUUGUCACAUGCUCUGUAGGAUUGGCCGGCGCCUGCCGACGUUUUCCAACCAUUCUUUCCAGGUUGACCUCGGAUCAGGUAGGGAUACCCGCUGAACUUAAGCAUAUCAAUAAGCGGAGGAA